rnacentral:lncRNA from 1 species
AUAGGGCUGCACCUGCGGCAUAUGGAAGUUACUAGGCUAGGGGUCGAAUCAGAGCUGUAGCUGCUGGCCUACACCACAGCCACAGUAACACCAGAUCCAAGCUGCGUCUGUGACCUACACCACAGUUUGUGGCAAUGCUGGAUCCUUAACCCAUUGAGCGAGGCCAGGGAUCAAACCCAUGUCCUCAUGGAUACUAGUCUGGUUGGUUACCACUGUGCCACGACAGGAACUCCCACGUAGGUAUUCUUGUCACCAAUUUAGAUGAAGAAUCUGAGCUGGAAAAUAUUAAAUAACUUAAGUAAUAUUACAAAGCAAAUCGUGGGGUCUCCUUGGUCUAUGAACCCCAAAGCUUAUGGUCUUUCACCUCUAAUAUGUCUCCUUCAAUCACCUAGUAAGUUAAAACCUAUUCUAGGAGUAGAAGUAAAACAUUUCCUGGCCUUGAUCAAUUCUUCUUACUUGCCAGCUAUUUUUGAAUAUGAAUAUUCUCUGCUUGUUUUUUUUUUUUUUAAUAGACUCAUAGGUGAACAGCAACGAGGAAAGGCAGAUGAGGACUCCUCAGGAAAAACGACACAAACCUGAGCAAUAAGGUAGAAUAUAACAUUUGUAUAAAUUAUCCAAGGAGUUUCUGUUGUGGCGCAGCAGAAAUGAAUCCGACUAGUAUCCAUGAGGAUGUGGGUUCAAGGCCUGGCUUUAGUCAGUGGGUCAGGGAUCCGGUGUUGCCAUGAGCUGUGGUGUAGGUUGCAAACAUGGUUCGGAUCCCACAUUGCUGGACCUCUGGUGUAUGUAGGCUGGCAGCUGUAGCUCCAAUUCAACCCCUAGCCUGGGAACUUCCAUAUGCUAUGGGUGGGGCCCUAAAAAGUGGGGGAAAAAAAAAAAGAGAAAAAAAAAUUAUCCAUGCCAUUGUUUCUCUCCAUGGAGUAUAUUGUAUUUCCCAUAUGUGGUUUGAGUAGGUUUCCUAGAGUAGAUUGAUCCCCAGUGGUAUCUUGAAUGAUAGGAGAAAAAAAAUAGCUUAGCAUUUGGUAAAGAGAUCUAAUUUGCAGACUGAAAAGCCAGUGGUAUUGAAGGAACUAACACAAAUUAAAAAAAAAGCAAACUUGGAGUUCCCGUUGAGGCUCAGUGGAAACAAAUCUGAAUAGCAUCCAUGAGGACACAGGUUCAAUCUGGGGCCUUGCUCAGUGGGUUAAGGAUCUGGUUUUGCCAUGAGCUGUGGUAUAGGUCGCAGACAUGGCGUGGAUCCCACGUCGCUGUGGCUGUGGUGUAGGCCAGAGGCUACAGCUCCGAUUUGACCCCUAGCCUGGGAACCUCCUUAUGCUGAGGGUGCAACCCUAAAAAGAUUUUAAAAAAAGAUCAAACUUGGAUGACUAAUAGAGUGAAGAAAGAGCCAUUGCAAUGUGAUGAAACCCCAGUCCCCUGUCCUGUGAUUAACUAGUUGUGGAGAAAAAAAGGCUUGUAUAAAUAAGUUUACCAAGGGACUUGUUAGGAGGCCCCUUGUUUCUGUCUCUGUGUAUUGAGAUGAGACUUCUCGCUCAAAAUAAGAUGAUAAUACUUGCCGCAUUCAAAUAAGUGCCAACAGACACCUAUUUUUUUACAUAUGUAUGCUACAUUUAUAACAGAACACUUUAAAAUAUUAGUCAUUGCACACAUCACAAAGAGAAACAGGAAACUGUUCAAACCUUCACGAGUGAAGGAGACACACAUGACUAGACCCCACCCACCCCCAGCUGAGGUGUACUCACCACUCACCGUCUGGCCAGGCAGGUUCUAGGUUGUGCCUGUUUGAGGUUUCUGGUUCUGUUUUUCCUAGACACAUUCACUCAGAGGGACGUUUCCCUUAAACUUCUGUAAGGCAACUUCAACCCAACUUUUUAAUUAUCUUGCUGAGAACUUCCACAUAAAAUUUUCAAAAUAAUCUCCUAAAUAUCCGCUUUUCUAUGAGGCUGUUCCUGGCUCCAAUACCUUUUCCCAAUACCUGGGUGUUGACUCUUGGGCACAACUUUUUUAUAGUCAUUUUUGUACAUCUCAUUCCUUCUACUGUUUUAAACAUUCCUUGAUGAAAUUCUUCUUAUACUUUACAGUUUAACCCCUGAGUUUGACUUUAAGGUCUUUUUCUUUCUUUUUUAAAUUUUUUUAAAAUUUUUUUAUUAUUAUUAUUUUUUAAUCUACACUCUCCCUAGAUGAUCUCAUCCACUCUGUGGUUCCAUGUUACCAUAUACUCUAUAUGUCAUAUUGUGUGAAUAUCAGUAUGAUAUCCAAGAGGGGUUUAUAGAAACUUAAGCUCAGAUCUCUCUCCUGAUAUUAACCUGUAUCUUCAAUGUCCUACUAGGCAUCUCAACUUGGAUGUCACCUUGGUAUUUCACACUCAUCAUCUUCUGUAUGUUCCUCAUCCUUCUAUCCCUCAAAUCUAUUUCUCCCUCUGUGAUUUUGAUGUCAACAAAUGGCACCCCCAUGUACUUACUCUUCCAACUCAGAAACUAGAGUGUCAUCCUUAAUUUAUCAUUUUUCUUCCCUACCUACACACAAUCAAUCACCAGUCCAGCACUUCUACCUUUUAAAUAUCUUUGGAGUCUAUGCAGUCUCAUAGCAUCAACCACCAGUUUGCUUUUCCAGGAUUCACUGCAGUCGCUUCUACUUCCAGCCUGGCAUCCCUCCAACCUAAUCUCAUGCGGAAGUCCAAGCGGUUUUGCAAACCUAACCAUGUCACUCCCCAGUAGAAUCUUCAUUGGUUAUUAUUUCCCUUGGGAUAAAUUUAAAUUCCCUGAAUCAAAAAGCAAAGCCCUAAUAUCUGAUUCUACUCAUCUCUCGAGUUUUAUCUCUUGCUAUGUCCCUAUUCUCAUCCUAUACUCCAGCCAUAUUGAGCAUGCAAUUUCCUGAAGGUAACCAUUGAUAAUUAUUCUCUCCCUUUCCCUUAUCUCUUUCUGACUCUCCUUUGGCCUCUUCCUCUUGUCCAUUUGUCUGUGGGUUUCUCUUUACUCUCUCCUCCAGGAGUUUGUAGAUGCCCUCCCUCUGCUUAGCACACACUUUCUGUCUUCCUUUCUCACUUUUCCGCAUUCAUCAAAUUUACUUUGAUUUAUCUUUUUGGACUCAACUGAGAUGUCACUUCUACCAGAAUACUUUUUCUCACUUCAUCACUAAAUUAUGUUCCCCUUCUAUUUAGUUUCCCAGCAUUUUACUCUUACAUUUAUAGUAAUAACUACCAUGUUUUAAUCCUAAACAUUUGUUUUCUUCCUCCCUGUAAGGUAAUUUCCUUGAGUACACAUCCUGUGUCAUAUUCAAUAUUAUGUCCUAGGCACCAAAUGUGACAAAUUGGAAGUAUUAAAUAAAUGAAUGACUUCCCUAUAGUACUUAGAAAAGCGGCUUGCUGGCAGCAGGCAUUCUAAUCCCUUAAGUUUUAAAUGAUUUUAUUAGUGAAUGCUGUAACAGUAACCAAACAUGCACAAAAGUAAGAGAUGGAAUAGAAAGAAAAGGGGCAAAGCUUAUGGUCCUUUCCCAAACUUUCCAAGUAGACUCAAAUUUAAUGUUGGAAAUGAAGUCAUCUGCAUAUUCAGUCCUCUUAAAGCCUCAUCCUACAGGCUGAUUCUGUACACAUUUGCUAAACCUUUCCAAGGACACAAAGUGACCUUGCCAAGAAUCCCAGCAUAAAUAAUGUUCAUGGGGCCAGAUCCUAGAACGAAAAUGUGAAUAUGUUG